rnacentral:rRNA from 1 species
AUGAACGCUGGCGGCGUGCCUAAUACAUGCAAGUCGAGCGAACGGACGAGAAGCUUGCUUCUCUGAUGUUAGCGGCGGACGGGUGAGUAACACGUGGAUAACCUACCUAUAAGACUGGGAUAACUUCGGGAAACCGGAGCUAAUACCGGAUGAUAUUUUGAACCGCAUGGUUCAAAAGUGAAAGACGGUCUUGCUGUCACUUAUAGAUGGAUCCGCGCUGCAUUAGCUAGUUGGUAAGGUAACGGCUUACCAAGGCAACGAUGCAUAGCCGACCUGAGAGGGUGAUCGGCCACACUGGAACUGAGACACGGUCCAGACUCCUACGGGAGGCAGCAGUAGGGAAUCUUCCGCAAUGGGCGAAAGCCUGACGGAGCAACGCCGCGUGAGUGAUGAAGGUCUUCGGAUCGUAAAACUCUGUUAUUAGGGAAGAACAUAUGUGUAAGUAACUGUGCACAUCUUGACGGUACCUAACCAGAAAGCCACGGCUAACUAC